rnacentral:rRNA from 11 species
GCCUAACACCAUACUACCUUAAUACACUGAUCCAAUUUUGAUUUUAGAAGCUAAACAAAUUAGACCUGGUUAGUCCCAGGAUAGAAGAUCAUCAGGGAAAACUAGGGGUCUCUAGAUA